GUGGCUCAGUUGUAGAGUGCUUGCCUUGCAUGCAAGAGGCCCUGGGUUCGAUUCCUCAGC
rnacentral:tRNA from 1 species